rfam:Gossypium hirsutum cultivar TM-1 chromosome 15, whole genome shotgun sequence
AUGUCCUCUAGAGUUCCCCUGUUCACUUCACUGGGGUUAUGUUGUCUGCUCUUCUUGGACCCUUAUUAAGGGAGGUCCCUGACCUACUGAAGUGUUUGGGGGAACUCUGGCUGCCAC